rnacentral:rRNA from 1 species
GACGAACGCUGGCGGCGUGCUUAACACAUGCAAGUCGAACGCUGAAGCUUGGUGCUUGCACUGGGUGGAUGAGUGGCGAACGGGUGAGUAAUACGUGAGUAACCUGCCCUUGACUCUGGGAUAAGCCUGGGAAACUGGGUCUAAUACUGGAUACGACAUGUCACCGCAUGGUGGUGUGUGGAAAGGGUUUUACUGGUUUUGGAUGGGCUCACGGCCUAUCAGCUUGUUGGUGGGGUAAUGGCUCACCAAGGCGACGACGGGUAGCCGGCCUGAGAGGGUGACCGGCCAAAUGGGAAUUGAGCAAGGCCCAGACUCCUACGGGAGGCAGCAGUGGGGAAUAUUGCACAAUGGGCGGAAGCCUGAUGCAGCGACGCCGCGUGAGGGAUGACGGCCUUCGGGUUGUAAACCUCUUUCAGCACGGAAGAAGCGAAAGUGACGGUACGUGCAGAAGAAGCGCCGGCUAACUACGUG